AUUGAACGCUGGCGGCAGGCCUAACACAUGCAAGUCGAACGAGUGGCGGCCGGGUGAGUAAUGUCUGGGAAACUGCCUGAUGGAGGGGGAUAACUACUGGAAACGGUAGCUAAUACCGCAUACCAUCGGAUGUGCCCCGAUGGGAUUAGCUAGUUGGUGGGGUAACGGCUCACCUAGGCGACGAUCCCUAGCUGGUCUGAGAGGAUGACCAGCAAAACUGGAACGGAGACACGGUCCAGAAGCCUACGGGAGGCAGCAGUGGGGAAUAGUGCACAAUGGGCGCAAGCCUGAUGCAGCCAUGCCGAGUGUUUGAAGAAGGCCUUCGGGUUGUAAAGCACUUUCAGCGGGGAGGCGUUACCCGCAGAAGAAGCACCGGCUAACUCCGUGCCAGCAGCCGCGGUAAUAC
rnacentral:rRNA from 1 species